rnacentral:rRNA from 1 species
GGAUUAGAUACCCUGGUAGUCCACGCCGUAAACGAUGAUUACUCGCUGUUGGCGAUACACUGUCAGCGGCUAAGCGAAAGUGAUAAGUAAUCCACCUGGGGAGUACGUUCGCAAGAAUGAAACUCAAAGGAAUUGACGGGGGCCCGCACAAGCGGUGGAGCAUGUGGUUUAAUUCGAUGAUACGCGAGGAACCUUACCAGGGCUUAAAUGUAGAACGACCGAUUUGGAAACAAGUCUUCUCUUUGAGCGGUCUACAAGGUGCUGCAUGGUUGUCGUCAGCUCGUGUCG